rnacentral:snRNA from 1 species
AGGAACUAUUGCUCUUUUAGUAAUUUUCUAGCAGGAUUCCUAUAAAAGGAAUCCCCC